UGUAGUAUAGAGAGCUCCGCAAACGGGCAAUCGCUGUGAGGAGUUUGUGGAAACAGCAAGCUCCACGCCGCGAAAUCCCGUUCGCAGAGCUCUCUAUGCAAGGAGUGUGACGAAGGUUUCACACGCUGGGAAGGAGCUUGUGGCACCAGACGACACAGUAAACUUCCACAAUAUAUCAUGGACGUUUCUAAACAAAAGAAAACUAUCAGGGUAAAUGCCACUGGUGACAUAACCCGGCAAGAAGAAGUAAGAAAAAAAUGGACAGACAUGAAGGCAUGUUCCAUGAAGGCAGAGUCAGCCAGGUGGUUGAAUGUUAGGAAAACUGGCAAAUAAUCUAACCGAAGUGUUUAGCAUGAUUCCUUCAGUGGCUGACGAAGCUGAAGACAGUACACAGGGAUUCAUCUUUUAUUCUUAACAGGAUGUGUUUUCCACACAACACACCACACUACAGUGACAGCUUCAAACACAGGAGAAGCUGAUUGUGGAACAAGCACAGGUGUAAUAUAAUAUAAUGUUAAUAACAAAGAAAAGGUCUCAGUGAGGGUGGAUGAUAUGCAGAUCCAUCAGAAUCAAAGAUAUUCUGUGAGAGAUCAAAGCAUUACCAGCUCAGGGGGAGAGGAAGGUGUCACUCUUGGAGGAAAUACUCUCUGAGAAGCUGGGACAUCCACACACAGACUGAAACUGGAAACUCAUUGUCACCUGUUGUUACCUUAAUUUGAUUAAAGCCUGUGACUCAUG